rnacentral:rRNA from 1 species
GAUCCUGGCUUAGGACGAACGCUGGCGGCGUGCCUAACACAUGCAAGUCGAACGGAGUAUCGAGAGCUUGCUUUGAUACUUAGUGGCGACGGGUGAGUAAUACAUGAGCAACCUGCCCUGAAGUGGGGGACAACAGUUGGAAACGACUGCUAAUACCGCAUAAUGUGCAGAGGGGGCAUCUCUUCUGCAUCAAAGAUUUAUCGCUUCAGGAUGGGCUCAUGUCUGAUUAGCUAGUUGGUGAGGUAAUGGCUCACCAAGGCUACGAUCAGUAGCCGGACUGAGAGGUCGAACGGCCACAUUGGGACUGAGAUACGGCCCAGACUCCUACGGGAGGCAGCAGUGGGGAAUAUUGGGCAAUGGGCGAAAAAGCCUGACCCAGCAACGCCGCGUGAAGGAAGAAGGCCUUCGGGUUGUAAACUUCUUUUACGAGGAAUGAAAAAAUGAUAGUACCUCGUGAAUAAGCCACGGCUAACUACGUGCCAGCCGCUGC